rnacentral:tRNA from 1 species
GCCUCCUUAGCUCAGUGGUUAGAGCACUGGUCUUGUAAACCAGGGGCCAUGAGUUGGAAUCUCAUAUGGGGCU